GCCUUUAAUCCCAACACUCAGGAGGCAGAGGCAGGCAGAUCUCUGUGAGUUCGAGACCAGCCUGGUCUACAAGAGCUAGUUCCAGGACAGCCUCCAAAGCCACAGAGAAACCCUGUCUCGAAAAACAAAAACAACAAAAAAAAGAGUCUCAUUAUGUAGCUCUGGUUGUUCUUGAACUUACCACAUAGACCAGGCUGGCCUUGAACUCACAGAGAUCUGCUUGCUUCUGCCCCCAAAUGCUGGGAUUAAAGGCAUAAUGGUCAAUCUUUUUCUUUUUUUUUCUUUUCUUUUUUUUUUGUUUUUUUGUUUUUGUUUUUGUUUUUCAAGACAGGGUUUCUCUGUGCAGCUUUGGAGGCUGUCCUGGAACUAGCUCUUGUAGACCAGGCUGGUCUCGAACUCACAGAGAUCUGCCUGCCUCUGCCUCCUGAGUGUUGGGAUUAAAGGCGUGUGCCACCAACGCUGGGCUAUAAUGGUCAAUCUUGAUUGUCAAUUUAACAGGAUCUAGAAUCUCCAUGGAAAUAAAUCUGUGGACAUGCCUUGGAGGAAUUGCAUGGAUGAGAAUUGCAGAGAGGCUAAAGUUGGUGAGAGCACCAAGUUUCUGAGGGAAUCCCAAGAAGUCAAAAUGAGUAUCAAAGCUGUUUGGUUGUCAACUGGACUACAUCUGGAAUGAACUAAACCCAAGCACUGGGCACACCUGUGAGGGAUUUAUUUUUUUCUUAAUUAAACCAUUUGAAGUAGGAAGACCCACUUCUCAUCCAGAUCUUUGAGGUGAGAAGAAACAACUUUAACCUGAGCCACACCUUCUGCUGGCAGCCUGUGUACAGGACAUGGAAGAAGACAGUUUGCUCCCUUUGCCUGCUUGCUCUCUUGAUCUUGCUGGCAAGCUCACUCCUUCACUGACAUUAGAGCCUACUUUGGGAUUUCAGCAUAUACUGAAGACCAGCUGAGGCAUCCAGCCUCAUGAACCGAACAACUACCGGAUUCUUAGACCUUCCAUUGGCAGACAGCCAUUGUUGGACUAGAUGGACCACAGCCUGUAAGCCACUCUAAUAAAUCCCUUCUCUGUAUAAGUAGAUUCA
rnacentral:lncRNA from 1 species